rnacentral:rRNA from 1 species
UACGGAGGGUGCAAGCGUUGCUCGGAAUUAUUGGGCGUAAAGGGUAGGUAGGUGGUCUCGUUUGUCUGAGGUGAAAGCCUUGAGCUUAACUCAAGAAGUGCCUCAGAAACGGCGAGACUAGAGUCUUGGAGAGGGUCGUGGAAUUCCACGUGUAGCAGUGAAAUGCGUAGAGAUGUGGAGGAAUACCGAUGGCGAAGGCAGCCCCCUGGGCCAAUACUGACGCUCAUGCACGAAAGCGUGGGGAGCAAACAGG